CCCUUAGAUGUCCUGGGCCGCACGCGCGUUACACUGAUGCAUUCAACGAGUUUUUCCUUGGCCGAGAGGCCUGGGCAAUCUUUUAAACGUGCAUCGUGAUAGGGAUAGAUUAUUGCAAUUAUUAAUCUUGAACGAGGAAUUCCUAGUAAACGCAGAUCAUCAAUCUGCAUUGAUUACGUCCCUGCCCUUUGUACACACCGCCCGUCGCACCUACCGAUUGAAUGGUCCGGUGAAGCCUCGGGAUUGUGGCGAGUUCCCUUUAUUGGGAGUUUGUCGCGAGAACUUGUCUAAACCUUAUCAUUUAGAGGAAGGUGAAGUCGUAACA
rnacentral:rRNA from 1 species